rnacentral:rRNA from 1 species
GACGCACGCUGGCGGCGUGCCUAAUACAUGCAAGUAGGACGCAGUUGCGAACGGGUGAGUAACGCGUAGGUAACUACCUAUUAGAGGGGGAUAACUAUUGGAAACGAUAGCUAAUACCGCAUACUAGUAGAUGGACCUACGUUGUAUUAGCUAGUCGGUAGGUUAAUGGCCUACCUAGGAAAGGAUACAAAGCCGACCUGAGAGGGUGAUUGGACACAGUGGGACUGAGACAAGGACCAGACUCCUAAGGGAGGCAGCAGUAGGGAAGUUUCGGCAAUGGGGGUAACACUGACCGAGCAACGCUGCGUGAGUGAAGAAGGUUUUCGGAUCGUAAAGCUCUGUUGUUAAGGAAGCGGUACUUAACCAGAAAUGGACGGCUAACUACGUGCCAGCAGCCGCGGUAAUUC